UACGUAGGGGCAAGCGUUGUCCGGAUUUAUUAGGCGUAAAGCGCUCGCAGGUGGUCCGAUGCGUCGUGCGUGAAAGACCCCGGCUCAACUGGGGAGGUCGUGCGAUACGGUCGGACUGGAGGCCAGUAGGGGGAUGCGGAAUUCGGGUGUAGUGGUGGAAUGCGCAGAUAUCGGGAGGACACCGGUGGCGAAGGCGGUUCUCUGGGCCUUACCUGACGCUGAGGAGCGAAAGCGUUGGGGAGCGAACAGG
rnacentral:rRNA from 1 species